GUGAGGACCCUCUCCCGAUGCUGCACGCGUGUCAGGCUAAUUGAUCCAACGCUCCAUCGCACACAGGUUCAGGGAAGGCACAAAUUUACAAGCUUGCUAGAGUACGUCAGCUAUGCUAUUUUUUGCUACGGAACCCAAAAGACCAAGGAUGCCAACUAUUCUAGAACUACUGGAAGUAGUAAAAAUUAUCCAUUCACAAGCAAACACUGGAGAUCCACCAUGAGUAGAGCAGGCUGCUAAGCUGCAUGUCUACUUUAGCUGCUGGUCGAAGAUAUGUUCAGGAUUGUAGUUAGUAGUGAUUAGAUUACUUAUGUACAGAGGUUGAUUGGAUCAAGGGUUGAUGUAUGGUCCCAUAAAUGACUGAUUCUUCUUAAGCAUUAUAGAUGAGUUCUCAUGUCAUAUAUAGCUGUCAAAUUCAUUAUCUGAACGAUUACAGUGCAACUAAAAAAUAAGCAUCAACAAAAGUAAAUUUUGGCUGUAA